rnacentral:rRNA from 1 species
UACAGAGGUGGCAAGCGUUGUUCGGAAUUACUGGGCGUAAAGCGUGCGUAGACGGUUACGUAAGUCGGGUGUGAAAGCCCCGGGCUCAACCUGGGAAUUGCAUUCGAGACUGUGUAGCUAGGGUGCGGAAGAGGGAAGCGGAAUUUCCGGUGUAGCGGUGAAAUGCGUAGAUAUCGGAAGGAACAUCAGUGGCGAAAGCGGCUUCCUGGUCCAGCACCGACGUUCAGGCACGAAAGCGUGGGGAGCAAACAGG